AGCUCCAAUAGCGUAUAUUAAAGUUGUUGCAGUUAAAAAGCUCGUAGUUGGAUUUCGGAGUGGGCCAGUUGGUCCGCCGCAAGGUGUGUUACUGACUGGUUUGCUCUUCUUCGCAAAGACUGCGUGUGCUCUUUGUUGAGUGUGCGUAGGAUUUACGACGUUUACUUUGAAAAAAUUAGAGUGUUCAAAGCAGGCUAUUGCUUGAAUACAUGAGCAUGGAAUAAUGGAAUAGGACUUUGGUCCCAUUUUGUUGGUUUCUAGGACCGAAGUAAUGAUUAAGAGGGACAAUUGGGGGCAUCCGUAUUUCGUUGUCAGAGGUGAAAUUCUUGGAUUGCGUUACGACAAACUACUGCGAAAGCAUUUGCCAAGGAUGUUUUCA
rnacentral:rRNA from 1 species